rnacentral:rRNA from 1 species
UUAGGAAUCUUGCACAAUGGGCGAAAGCCUGAUGCAGCGACGCCGCGUGGAGGAGGAAGUCCUUCGGGAUGUAAACUUCUUUUAGGGGAGAAGAAACAGAUGACGGUAUCCCCUGAAUAAGCCCCGGCUAACUACGUGCCAGCAGCCGCGGUAACACGUGGGGGGCGAGCGUUGUCCGAAGUUACUGGGCGUAAAGCGCGCGUAGGCGGGCUGUUAAGUCGGAAGUGAAAGGCUGGGGCUCAACCUCAGCAGUGCUUCCGAUACUGGCAGUCUUGAGGGCGGUAGGGAGAAGUGGAAUGGCUGGUGUAGCGGUGAAAUGCGUAGAUAUCAGUCGGAACACCGGUGGCGAAGGCGGCUUCUUGGGCCGUUCCUGACGCUGAGGCGCGAAAGCCAGGGGAGCGAACGGG